rnacentral:misc_RNA from 1 species
GAUGAAGAACGUAGUGAAAUGCGAUACGUAAUGUGAAUUGCAGAAUUCAGUGAAUCAUCGAGUCUUUGAACGCACAUUGCGCCCCCUGGUAUUCCGGGGGGCAUGCCUGUCCGAGCGUCAUUGCUGCCCUCAAGCACGGCUUGUGUGUUGGGCCUCCGUCCUCCUCCCGGGGGACGGGCCCGAAAGGCAGCGGCGGCACCGCGUCCGGUCCUCGAGCGUAUGGGGCUUCGUCACCCGCUCUUGUAGGCCCGGCCGGCGCUUGCCGACACAUCAAUCUUUUUUCCAGGUUGACCUCGGAUCAGGUAGGGAUAACCGCUGAACUUAAGCAUAUCAAUAAGCGGAGGA